UUCAUCUCCUCCCCCCAUUCUUAAUCCCCCAUAUCUUCAUCAUCUACUUCCUACCCAGAUCCCCAAAUUCACUGAUCUACAAAACCCAGAUCUCAAUUUUUUUAAUCAUGUCCAGAUCAGAUCUCGCUCACAAAAUCUUCCCAGAGCCUUGUAAUAUAUUAAGUGAUGAUAUAGACCAUUUUGAUUCAUUGCCUGACUCUAUUUUGCUCCUCAUUUUCAAUCAGAUCGCUGAUGUUAAAGCUCUGGGUAGGUGUUGUCUCGUUUCGAAAAGGUUUCAUUUUCUGGUUCCUCAGGUUGAUAAUAUUCUUGUUCGUGUUGAUUGUGUGAUUUCUGAUGAUGAUUCAUCUGGGGGUUCUUCGUCUUCGAGCUCUGUGUCGAAAUCUCACACACCCUUUUCGUCGUUGUUUCGAUUCGUGUUUGGUGGGAUUGUGAAGCCCUUGCAAUCGCUUACACAGUUUUUGCAGUUUAAGAGAUCGGUUAAUGGGACUGGGUUUGCUGCUUCUUCGUCGUCGUUAUCGGUUAAUGGGGAGGAUUAUGAUGAAUUGGAUCAAGGGGGUGUUACCCAUCAUUCACCUACUCAGGUUUUGAAGAAUUUUAAUGAAAUUAAGAUAUUAAGGAUUGAGCUUCCGAGCGGUGAGCUUGGAGUUGAUGAUGGGGUAUUGUUGAAAUGGAGGGCUGAUUUUGGGUCAACUCUUGAUAAUUGUGUGAUUCUUGGAGCGUCUUCGGUGAUGCCUAGUAAGGGUUUGGAUGGAAAUGGUGUUAAUUUAAUUAAUGAGGAUGAUAAUGGAAGUAUACCUGAAUCGUUUUAUACGAAUGGUGGAUUGAAACUUAGAGUUGUUUGGACAAUCAGUUCGUUGAUUGCUGCUUCUGCUAGGCAUUAUUUGCUUCAACCAAUUAUAUCCGAGCAUAAGACAUUAGAUAGUUUGGUGUUGACCGAUGGUGAUGGACAAGGGGUGUUGUGUAUGAAUAGGGAGCAGUUGGAGGAGUUGCGGGUGAAGCCUUUGUCGGCUUCUAGUGCUUCUAAGAGGACCCUUGUGCCGGCUCUGAAUAUGAGGUUGUGGUAUGCGCCACAUUUGGAGUUGCCGGAUGGGACUGUGUUGAAGGGGGCAACUUUGGUUGCUAUUAGACCAAGUGAACAAUCAGUGGUGAAGAAAGAGGUGGCUGAUGGGUCUUGGGUGUCUUCUGCGUUUGAGGAGCCUUAUGGAACAGCUGCAAAGAUGUUGAUUAAAAGGAGGACUUAUUGCCUUGAGAUGAAUUCUUUUUGAUAGCACUCUGAUGUUUCAGUGAGGUAAAUCUUUAGACAUUAUUCUUUGAUUGACCAUAUUGAGUUAUCAUUUUUUUUUUUGAACUUAUAAAUGAAUUUUAGGCUUAUUAUCUUAUCCAAUAGACAUCAAGGUCAAUUCUUGUUAACUUUGGCUCUUAGGUAUCUGCAGAUUAAUGUGGAUCUUAGACCUCCGACACUGUCUGUGAAUUUGCCUUUGCCCUGUUUUUUCUGAUGACCCAUUCAUGCUUGGUACUAGUGUGUUAAAAUUUCACUUUUUUGUUGUCUUUAUUUUUUAUAUAAUCUGAUCAACGUAUGUCUGUAAAUGUACUUACCGUUGAUGAUGGUCAAUCAGUAUGCCAGACACACCUCUUAGAUGGUGUGUGGUCAAGAAUUACUUGUAACCAAAAAUGUAAUGCACCGUGAAGGAAUAUUAAUCUGGCAAGCAGCACUCGUAAGAUUUGAACCUGAUACUCUUUUGAGUGUCAAACUAUACACCAGUAAGAACGUGCAACCGAUGCUAAAGAUUGAGCAAUUAGUUUUUUAUUCUAUUGACAUCCUUAGAUAUGAUAAGGUUGAUGACCUAAUUUUGCAAAGUCUAGACUUUGUUUUCCAUUCAUGCAAUUAAUGUUUGCUAAGUUUUUAAUGUGUUUAAUUAACUUGCAUGAUCUUAAUACUCUUAUGUAAUGCAUUGGACAGGGAAAGUAUAUUCUUGAGAUGAUACGAUACAGUACGUGUUUUUGGGCAGGCUGGUAAUAUACACACUUUUGUUCUAUAUCUUGCUAAAUAUUUGAGGGGUGUUCGUCAAUGGCAAAUGCUAGCUUUCUUAUCCUAUCUGGAUGCAGCCAGCCAAAAAUGUACCAAAUCCAUCGCCUAAAAACAUCACACUCGUCUUGGGGGGGUUGGUACAAUUCUGGAUCUUUUGCAGCCCUUGAUAGUGGCACAAGCUUCCGUUUUGUGAUGUUUUACUACUAAUCCAGUAAUCCAUAUAUUCUUCAAGCGUAGUAGAAUUCUUUAAUGGUGCCAUUAUACCAACUCCAUCCUCGACGAAGGCAUUCCACUAUUAACAUACACAAGAUAUUAGCGAGGAUGCAAUAUCAUGAAUGAAUUUUUAUUCUUGAACCUCAUUUCUUCCAUGUUUUAAGAGGGAGGUUGGGGUAUACAUAAUGGCAUAUUGAAUUGCCUUGUAACCCUCUCCGGAGUCGAUACUCUAUAUUCUCAAAGAAGAUAAGCGGUACAUGGGCAAUACCUGCAAUUCGAGUUCGGUGAAAAUGAUGAUCAUGCCUCCGAUAGAUACGUCUAUAGGGUGUCCAACCAAUGCUUCUCAUAUCAAAAUUAUCGAACAUACCUCUAUAUACUUUUAUAAGCUAUAUUAUAAAGCGUGCAAAUUUUUUAAUCUUGGUGGUUAAUUGCUUAAUUGACGGUUAAAUAUGAGUGUGUAGAACUUGGAAAACUAAUUUAUUAUUUUUAGAAAAUGGGGAAUUAACCUCUUAGAUAAUCUCCAAUGAAGUUGACUAAAUUGGAUUUUUAAGAUAUUAUGUAAAAUUUGUUGAACAUAUAAUACAUUUUGUUUCGAUGGUAUAUCUUAUAUUGAUUGAAUAUAUUUUAAAUACAACAUGUUAUUAUAAUUUUAAGGAUUUAUAAAUUUUGUUUUAAUAUGAUAAUGGAUCACAUGAUAUUUGGCACAAAAAUAUAGUAAUUCGACCAAUAUAGUCAUUCAUCGGUUAAAAUUAUAGAUAAAAAUAAAAAAUAGUUUUUUUUCUUCCGAUAUUUAAACUCAUUUUUAGAUAAAACUUCUUUCAUGAUCGUAAUUAUUCUUAUAAUUAUCAAAUAAACUAUUUUCUAGUGUAUUAUAUUUAGACACCAGUUCACUAAAACACUCGGUAAAAACGUUCUUAUCAUGUUCACAUUCCAAAAAGAUGUUUAAAAUUUUAUUAAAAUUGAAUAUUUGAUUAUUUUGCCAAGUCUCGAUUGAAUUUUUGAGCAGGGAAACAGGAUUUUCUUGUCCGAGCCUACUAGAAUCUAGCACCAAUCAGCUAACAGUAACAAAAAUCAGUAUAGCUAUCAGUCAUAUCACAAUUCAUCAAACAGAGAUCAGUAUAGCUAUCAGUCAUACAGACAACAUUAUUAGCAUUUAAAAUUUUUUACCGAGCAGGGAAAAAGUUUUUUUUUAAGUCCGAGCCUACUAGAAUCUAGCACCAAUCAGCUAACAGUAACAAAAAGCACAAUAUUAUUCUGGUAAGAAGAAGAUAGAAAAUAACAAAGAGCGACUCCAUUUCUCUCCAUUCAAAUCUAUUACUCUUCUCUCGAUUUCCCUUUCUUCUUUCAUUUACUUUCUCUCUCACACUCUUCCCACACACAAACACAAUCCGUGUAUUCAUCUCCUUCCCCCAUUCUCAAUCCCCCAUAUCUUCAUCUACUUCUUUACCCAGAUCCCCAAAUUCACAGAUCUACAAAACCCAGAUCUCAAUUUUUUUUAAUCAUGUCCGGAUCAGAUCUCGCUCACAAAAUCUUCCCAGAGCCUUGUAAUAUAUUAAAUGAUGAUAUAGACCAUUUUGAUUCAUUGCCUGACUCUAUUUUGCUCCUCAUUUUCAAUCAGAUCGCUGAUGUUAAAGCUCUGGGUAGGUGUUGUCUCGUUUCGAAAAGGUUUCAUUUUCUGGUUCCUCAGGUU
rnacentral:lncRNA from 1 species